GUCGUGCUAGGAAUGGACCCCUCUGAAGCAAGAUUGCCAUUGGAUUCUCUGCUUGUUUCACUGCUUAUCAAGGAAUCAGUUUCCUUGGGUUCAAAUUCUUUGUAGUCAUCCAUGACUCCACAGUUUCAUAUGCAUCGAGAGCAAUAAGGUCUGGCGCAAAUUUAUACUGCACAGGACAAUCAAUAUUGAUAAUUGUAUAUUAUAUUAGUCCAAAGAGAUUGAGAAGGUUCGUCCCAAACAAAAUAAUAGCAUUAAAAACUCAGGAAGAACCAGAUAGAAUAGAAACCAAAAUAUUAUCAUAUCCCAAAUCCCUGUGGCUGAACCUUACCUGAAGGUCUACAGACACAGAAGGUUUCUGAAGCACUUCCAGUGCUCUUUUUGCUU
rnacentral:lncRNA from 1 species